rnacentral:rRNA from 1 species
UACGUAGGGUGCAAGUGUUAAUCGGAAUUACUGGGCGUAAAGCGUGCGCAGGCGGUUUUGUAAGUCUGUCGUGAAAUCCCCGGGCUCAACCUGGGAAUUGCGAUGGAGACUGCAAGGCUAGAAUCUGGCAGAGGGGGGUAGAAUUCCACGUGUAGCAGUGAAAUGCGUAGAGAUGUGGAGGAACACCGAUGGCGAAGGCAGCCCCCUGGGUCAAGAUUGACGCUCAUGCACGAAAGCGUGGGGAGCAAACAGG